CGCGGGGUGGAGAAGUGGCAUCUCGGGUGUCUCAUAAGCACCAGACGCGGGUUCGAAUCCCGCCCCCGCAA
rnacentral:tRNA from 1 species